UCCCAGAUGUUGACCCUUGAACUCAGCUGUUGCUGUUGUCACCGUUUACUGAUUCCUGUCCACCAAAGUUAUCUUUUAUCAUCUCUUUCUUUAAAGAUUCUUGUCUCAGGUCCUCCAGCGGCUGCACUAUGGCCGAGGCUAGCUGGAAUCACCGGUCGGCUGUGAGAGAGGCGGCCCUUUGAACACCUCAAAGCUCCGUUGCUCUGCAAUUUCACUUUUAUGGUUGAGGCUCCUGAUGGCCAGAAAGGAAGCACAGCUCAUUAGCUGUCCAGCUGACUGGAGCUACUUCCCAGGCCCAAGCGGGGCUAUGCCAAAGCUGCACCAGCUUAAGCACCUGAAGUCCUCCAGGCAAGAUGAGGCUGGCCUGUUAGCCCACCCCAGCAAAUCAAUAGACGCUUAUUCCUCUCUUUGUCCAGGGAGAUGUCUGAUCUCUUUGGUCAGUGCUGCAUCCUUUCUGCUCAUGAGUCGAAGUUCCACGAAACUUCUCGCACAUUUGGCUCAGUCUCAUUUUGUCGUUUCUAUGACAAAAGAUUCUGUCUCUGGCAAUGCUUCACUAAUUAUAAAUGCAAUGCAAUGGUUCUCAAACUUGGCUACAUGCUAUAAUUACUUCAAAUGUUUUUAAAACUCUGAAAACCCAUGCUGUCCCCUAGACUAAUUAAACAGACUUUUCUGGAGGGUGGGAGGCAGGCCUCUUUAGUUAUUCACAUUCUCCAGAUAAUCUUAGUGUGAUCCAAGUUUGAGACCCACAUAUGCAGAAGGCAUCAGAAGUAAAAGAGAAUACCAUUGCAAGUUACAAAUACACUAUAAAGGAAUGCCAGGCGGUGGUGGUGCACGCCUUUGAUGCCAGCACUUGGGAGGCAGAGCCAGGCAGAUCUGAGUUCGAGGUCAGCCUGGUCUACAGCGUGGG